rnacentral:RNase_P_RNA from 1 species
UGAUCGCGGGGGAAACCCUGAGGAAAGUCCGAGCUCCGCAGAGCAGGGUGCUGGGUAACACCCAGUGGGGGCAACCCUAAGGCUAGUGCCACAGAAACAUACCGCCCGCAGGGGCAAGGGUGAAACGGUGAGGUAAGAGCUCACCAGCAGUCAGGUGACUGGCUGGCUAGGUAAACCCCACCCGGAGCAAGGCCAAAUAGGGAAGGAGAGGCUGCUCGUCUCGUUUGACUUCCGGGUUGGCUGCUGGAGGCUGCAGGCAACUGCAGUCCUAGAUAGAUGAUCACCCUCGACAGAACUCGGCUUAUAGGUUCACUCGCUUU